CUGCUGCCUCCCGUAGGAGUUUGGGCCGUGUCUCAGUCCCAAUGUGGCCGGUCACCCUCUCAGGUCGGCUGCUGAUCGUCGCCUUGGUGGGCCGUUACCCCUCCAACUAGCUAAUCAGACGCGGGUCCAUCUCAUACCACCGGAGUUUUUCACACAAGAACAUGCAUCCUCGUGCGCUUAUGCGGUAUUAGCAGUCAUUUCUAACUGUUAUCCCCCUGUAUGAGGCAGGUUACCCACGCGUUACUCACCCGUCCG
rnacentral:rRNA from 1 species